rnacentral:snoRNA from 1 species
GUGUACAUUUCAUUACCUACAUUCUUUCAUAUAUGUGACAUGUGAUUUUAUGCAUUAUACAAAGAGUUAAUGUUUACUUAGUAGUAUAACUAUAAAUAGUAAUGCUGCCAGUCUCCUUCAGACAACA